ACGGGAGGCAGCAGUGGGGAAUAUUGGGCAAUGGGCGAAAGCCUGACCCAGCAACGCCGCGUGAAGGAAGAAGGCCUUCGGGUUGUAAACUUCUUUUACCAGGGACGAAGGACGUGACGGUACCUGGAGAAAAAGCAACGGCUAACUUCGUGCCAGCAGCCGCGGUAAUACGAGGGGUGCAAGCGUUGUUCGGAAUCACUGGGCGUAAAGGGAGCGUAGGCGGAAAUGCAAGCAAUCUGUACAAUACCGGGGCCCAACCCCGGACCUGCAGAUUGGACUGUGUUUCUUGGAUAGUUCAGGGGCAGGCGGAAUUCCUGGUGUAGCGGUGGAAUGCGUAGAGAUCAGGAAGAACACCGAUGGCGAAGGCAGCCUGCUGGGGACUUAUCGACGCUGAGGCUCGAAAGUGCGGGUAGCAAACAGGAUUAGAUACCCUGGUA
rnacentral:rRNA from 1 species